CUCUGCCAAAGAGCUGCGGCCUGACCUAGUAACUAGAGCUGCUACGGUAUCGUCAUCUAGAGUCCUACUGGAUAUCAACUAGAUAGAGCAGGUCGCAUCGGUAUCCGUCUAACGUUGCUGCUGUAGAACUUGUACUCUAGUACCUAUAUUCUCGGUACUGUACAGCUGAUCAUGAGAGUAUCAUAUCUCGGUCAACUCUAGAGGCUUGCCGUCUCUACAACUUCGUUUGAGACACAACAAAGAAGACGGAUGACUCAUGGGACACAAUCUCGGACUCGUGAUCUCGAGGGAUUUUCUCUCGUCAGACUCAGAGCUAAGACGUUCUUUAGUGGCUAGUGUUA